rnacentral:rRNA from 1 species
GAUGAACGCUGGCGGCAUGCCUAAUACAUGCAAGUCGGACGGGAAGUGGUGUUUCCUGUGGCGGUCGGGUGAGUAACGCGUAAGAACCUUCCCUUGGGAGGGGAACCAUAGCUGGAAACGGCUGCUACUACCCCGUAGACCGAGUAGCAAAUAGAGGAAUCCGCCCGAGGGUGGGCUCGCGUCUGAUUGUCUAGUUGUUGAUGCAAUAGCUGACCAAAGCGCUGAUCAUUAUCUGUUCCGAGAGGGUGAUCGGCCACGCUGAGACGGAGACACGAUCCAGAGAACAACGGGAGACGGCAGUAGGCAAGAAGCCGCAAUGGGGGAAAGGUUGUGAGGGCAAUCGCGCGGGGAAGUAGUAGGACUAGGGGAGAAGAAAUGCGUAUGCAGGAAAAGAAGCAAUGACGGUAUCUAAGGAGAAAGCAACGGCUAACUCUGUG